UACGUAGGGGGCAAGCGUUGUCCGGAUUUAUUGGGCGUAAAGAGCGUGUAGGCGGCUGGGUAGGUCCGUUGUGAAAACUCGAGGCUCAACCUCGAGACGCCGAUGGAAACCCCCCAGCUAGAGUCCGGAAGAGGAGAGUGGAAUUCCUGGUGUAGCGGUGAAAUGCGUAGAGAUCAGGAGGAACACCCGUGGCGAAGGCGGCACGCUGGGCCGGCCCUGACGCUGAGGCGCGAAAGCCAGGGGAGCGAACGGG
rnacentral:rRNA from 1 species